rnacentral:rRNA from 1 species
UCGGAACAUACCCUAGAGGUGGGGGAUAACGUAGACGAAAGUUACGCUAAUACCGCAUACGAUCUAAGGAUGAAAGGUGGGGGAUCUUCGGACCUCAUGCUCAUGGAGUGGCCGAUAUCUGAUUAGCUAGUUGGUGAGGUAAAGGCUCACCAAGGCGACGAUCAGUAGCUGGUUUGAGAGAACGACCAGCCACACUGGAACUGAGACACGGUCCAGACUCCUACGGGAGGCAGCAGUGGGGAAUCUUGCGCAAUGGACGAAAGUCUGACGCAGCGACGCCGCGUGAGUGGUGAAGGCCUUCGGGUUGUAAAGCUCUGUGGAGAGGGACGAAUAAGUGUCGUCGAAUAGACGGCAUGAUGACGGUACCUUUUAGCAAGCACCGGCUAACUCUGUG